rnacentral:precursor_RNA from 15 species
AUCCAAUUGGCAAUAUUGAAUUUUUGAUUUUAAACACUUCCUACAUCCUGUAUGUGUUUUGCAUCCGGUACAGAUGUGGGAGUCGUUUGCACUCAGAGAUUUCACAGAAUUCGAGGAUCGA